rnacentral:sRNA from 1 species
CUGAAUCAGAUGCAUGGGAACGCCCAUGUC